rnacentral:rRNA from 1 species
GUAAGGUCAAGUAGAAAAGGGCGCACGGUGAAUGCCUAGGCACUAGCAGCCGAAGAAGGACGUGACGAACUACGAAAAGCUUCGGGGAGCGGUAAGUACGCAGUGAUCCGGAGAUAUCCGAAUGGGGGAACCCGGUGCAGGAGAUGCAUCAUUAAAUACUGUUAAGGUAUUUAAAGGAAGACGCAGUGAACUGAAACAUCUAAGUAGCUGCAGGAAGAGAAAGAAAAAUCGAUUUCCUUAGUAGCGGCGAGCGAAGAGGAAAGAGCCUAAACCAGAUGAUUUAUCAUUUGGGGUUGUAGGACUGCAAUAAGGUAUUGCGAAAGAUAGUUGAAAUGUCUGGGAAGACAUGCCAGAGAGGGUGAGAGCCCCGUAAGCGAAAUCGGAAGCAAGCCGAGCAGGAUCCUGAGUAGGGCGGGACACGAGGAAUCCCGUUUGAAUCCGCGAGGACCAUCUCGCAAGGCUAAAUACUAGCUAGUGACCGAUAGUGAACCAGUACCGUGAGGGAAAGGUGAAAAGAACCCCGGAAGGGGAGUGAAAGAGAACCUGAAACCGUGUGCCUACAAGUAGUCAGAGCACAUUAAAGUGUAAUGGCGUGCCUUUUGUAGAAUGAACCGGCGAGUUACGUUAAAUAGCGAGGUUAAGUGAGAAAAGACGGAGCCGCAGCGAAAGCGAGUCUGAAUAGGGCGAAAAGUUAUUUGAUGUAGACCCGAAACCAAGUGACCUACCCAUGACCAGGUUGAAGGUGCGGUAAAACGCACUGGAGGACCGAACCCACGUAAGUUAAAAAUUGCGGGGAUGAGUUGUGGGUAGCGGUGAAAUUCCAAACGAACUUGGAGAUAGCUGGUUCUCUCCGAAAUAGCUUUAGGGCUAGCCUCGUGGGAGAGGAUAAUGGAGGUAGAGCUCUGUUUGGACAAGGGGCCCGUCAGGGGUUACUAAGUCCAGAUAAACUGCGAAUUCCAGAUAUCCAUACACGGGAGUCAGACUGCGAGUGAUAAGAUCCGUAGUCGAAAGGGAAACAGCCCAGAUCACCAGUUAAGGUCCCCAAAUCUAUGCUAAGUGGAAAAGGAUGUGGAGUUGCGUAGACAACUAGGACGUUGGCUCAGAAGCAGCCAUCAUUCAAAGAGUGCGUAAUAGCUCACUAGUCGAGUGGCGCUGCGCCGAAAAUUUACCGGGGCUAAGCAUAGUACCGAAACUGUGGAUGCAUCGAAAGAUGCGUGGUAGGAGAGCGUUCUAGGUGCGGCGAAGGCUAAUCGAGAGGAUAGUUGGAGCGCUUAGAAGUGAGAAUGCCGGUAUGAGUAGCGAAAGAUAGGUGAGAAUCCUAUCCGCCGGAAGACUAAGGUUUCCUGGGGCAGGCUCGUCCGCCCAGGGUAAGUCGGGACCUAAGGCAAGGCCGAGAGGCGUAGUCGAUGGAUAACAGGUAGAAAUUCCUGUACUGCGUUCAAUCGUUAUGAGCGAAGGAGGGACGCAGGAGGCGAAGGACGCAUGGCGCUGGAAGCCAUGUGCAAGCGAUAAGUGUGGAAGUGAGUCAAAUGCUUGCUUUCGAAAAGCACAAGUCGUGAAGCGGAGCGAAGUUAAAGUAGCGAAGGUCUGGUAGUCACACUGCCAAGAAAAGCUUCUAGCCAGAGAGAACGUACCCGUACCGCAAACCGACACAGGUAGUCAAGUGGAGAACACUAAGGUGAGCGAGAGAACUCUCGUUAAGGAACUCGGCAAAAUGACCCCGUAACUUCGGGAGAAGGGGUGCUGAUCGCAAGAUCAGCCGCAGUGAAUAGGCCCAAACAACUGUUUAUCAAAAACACAGGUCUCUGCAAAGUCGUAAGACGACGUAUAGGGGCUGACACCUGCCCGGUGCUGGAAGGUUAAGAGGAGGACUUAGCUUAGGCGAAGGUCUGAAUUGAAGCCCCAGUAAACGGCGGCCGUAACUAUAACGGUCCUAAGGUAGCGAAAUUCCUUGUCGGGUAAGUUCCGACCUGCACGAAAGGUGUAAUGAUUUGGGCACUGUCUCAACGAGAGACUCGGUGAAAUUAUAAUACCCGUGAAGAUGCGGGUUACCCGCGACAGGACGGAAAGACCCCAUGGAGCUUCACUGUAGCUUGAUAUUGAGUAUCUGUUAAACAUGUACAGGAUAGGUAGGAGCCUGAGAAGAUAGGACGCUAGUUUUAUCGGAGGCAAUGUUGGGAUACUACCCUUGUUUGAUGGAUGCUCUAACCGCGGUGCCUAAGCGGCAUCAGGGACAGUGUCAGGUAGGCAGUUUGACUGGGGCGG